CAAUAGCGUAUAUUAAAGUUGUUGCGGUAAAAAAGCUCGUAGUUGGAUUUCUGUUGAGAGCGACCGGUCCAUACCAUGUAUGCGUAUCUGGCUUGCUCUCGGCAUCCUCUCGAUAGACGUUACUGCGCUUGAUUGCGUGGUGCGGAUCUCGGGACUUUUACUUUGAGGAAAUUAGAGUGUUCACAGCAGGCUUUCGCCAGAAUACAUUAGCAUGGAAUAAUACUAUAGGAUCUUGGUUCUAUUUUGUUGGUUUCUAGAAUUGAGAUAAUGAUUAAUAGGGACAAUUGGGGGCAUUCGUAUCAACACGUCAGAGGUGGAAUUCUUGGAUUGUGUUGCGACGAACUACUGCGAAAGCAUUUGCCAAGGAUGUUUUCAUUGA
rnacentral:rRNA from 1 species